rnacentral:misc_RNA from 1 species
GAUGAAGAACGUAGCGAAAUGCGAUAAGUAAUGUGAAUUGCAGAAUUCAGUGAAUCAUCGAAUCUUUGAACGCACAUUGCGCCCGCCAGUAUUCUGGCGGGCAUGCCUGUUCGAGCGUCAUUACAACCCUCAGGCCCCCGGGCCUGGCGUUGGGGAUCGGCGGAAGCCCCCUGUGGGCACACGCCGUCCCUCAAAUACAGUGGCGGUCCCGCCGCAGCUUCCAUUGCGUAGUAGCUAACACCUCGCAACUGGAGAGCGGCGCGGCCAUGCCGUAAAACACCCAACUUCUGAGUGUUGACCUCGAAGCAGGUAGGAAUACCCGCUGAACUUAAGCAUAUCAAUAAGCGGAGGA